rnacentral:rRNA from 1 species
UACGUAGGGGGCAAGCGUUGUCCGGAUUUAUUGGGCGUAAAGAGCGUGUAGGCGGCCAAGCAGGUCCGCUGUGAAAACUCGAGGCUCAACCUCGAGACGUCGGUGGAAACCGUUUGGCUAGAGUCCGGAAGAGGAGAGUGGAAUUCCCGGUGUAGCGGUGAAAUGCGCAGAUAUCGGGAAGAACACCCGUGGCGAAGGCGGCUCUCUGGGACGGUACUGGCGCUGAGACGCGAAAGCGUGGGGAGCGAACAGG